AUGCGAAAAAUGUACUCCGUACAAGUCAAAUUAGAUGUAUGCGAAAAAUGUACAAGUCCGCUGGACAAGGCACCUGGUGUGCCCGACGGAUUUACCGGCAGAUUUUACAAGUCCUACUUGGAUAUCAUCAGGUGGAUGUGAUGCGAGCGAUCAAGGCUUCUCUCGAGAGCGCUUUGGCAAAUCGUGUUGGCCACUAAUAGGCGCCGGUGCGCCGGCCGAAAGUUUCGGCCGGUCGCACGUACCCCAUCCGAUUUCACGAAAAAUAGCUGUCAGAUAUACUCCUGCUUAGUUUCCAACUUAGUAGGGGAAAAAAUCCCCUCGCCCUUGAUUCAUCAUGCGCAUCCGCUGCAGCUCCGGUCACCCGCCCUCUCCGGCCACCCUCCCUCACCGCAGGACGGCCCUCGCCGCCUGUCGCACUUGUCCGCCCCAACCACGGGUCGCAGCUUUCCUCUCCCCUUCUCUCCCACCGAUGCCGUGGUAGCCAUGUCCCACGCUAAAUCUUCGACGAAGCUGUUGCAACUCCAUUGUGGGCAGGUUGCAGCUCGAUAAAUUCCUGAGAAAACUGCCAGAGACGAAUUGCGGCUCUGCCACCCAUGGUUGCAACACCAAAAAAGCGUUGACAACUCCUUCGUCAGUGGUCACACGACAUUGCAGCUUCGCCCAAAAACAAGAGGUUCCAGCAUCCCGCAAAGCCGGUUGUAGCAAACAAAAAGGCUACAUCCAGCAAAAAAUCAAAGCAACAAAAAAUCCAGCACUCGGUUGAAGCAGAAAAAAAUGCCGGUUCCAGCAAAAUUGAAAUACGGUGGUAGCAAAUUUUGAGGCUGGUUCCAGCAAAAAUAAAAAAGGAUGAAGCAAAAAAUGCAAAAAUUGGGCGAUGUUCCAACAAGCCGAAAAAACCAGAGAUAGCAAACAUUGAAGUGGUUCCAGCAAACCAAAACGCCAUUGGAAACAAAUAUGCAAAAGUUGGACGUUUGGUUCUGCAAAAUGCAAAAAUGUUCGGUUGUAGCAAAAAAUUGAUCUAGUUCCAGCAAACCAAAAUGCCGGUGGUAGCAAAUUGCAAAAGUUGGCAUUGGUUUCAGCAAAAUCGAAAACGGCGGUGGUAGCAAAAUUUUGUGCUGGUUCCAGCAAACCUAAUAAGCGGUGGUAGCAAACUUGGGUGCUGGUCCCAGCAUCUCGCUGCCGUAGUUGUAGCACUCACCGCGUUACUAGUCCAGGGCGCCGUUGCAGCUCGCCAGGCGCCGCUGCAGCAACCCGCUCGCCGGAUUCUGUUACCAGGAGAUGGAUCUACUGCCUUUUGGCUCGCCUAAGGAGAGGAGGGGAGGGGAAAAGGUUCAGCGGAGGAGUAACACCGGCGAGGGAGGUGGAAUAGGAGGAGAAAGAGAAACGUCUUG
rnacentral:rRNA from 1 species